CGGGAAGUUACGCGUGCGGGCGGCCCCGUCGCGAUGUGUGUGGCACGUAGAGAGGUCGGCUGGCCGCCGCGCAUCUCAGGCAGUUUUGCAGAGCACUGAUUUCUAUGGACUCUAAAAUGGACUUCAUAUAAAGAAACCCCUGGAGCAUUAAUGGACAAAAACAUGAAUCAUUUUAUAUUGUGGCAUUCAAAUCCUAGCACUUUGAGAGAGCAUCAAGCACGUUUUUGAAGACCAUGGCCCAUCACCAUUAAGCAUUCAGGAGUUGAGUAUGAAUGACUUCUUCAAGACCUAGAUCCUCUUCAAAAGCUUCGUGUCAUCUGCAUUGAACCCUCAUACAAGUAAAUGCUGAAAGGGACUAAAAUUCAUGAAUACAUGUUUAUAUCCCUUUCUCAAUUUCCUUGGCUAUCAGGAUCCUUUAUAUUGCUCAUAUUACUCUAGACAAGAGCCAUGCUUUCUAAAAAAUAAAAGUUCUGUGGCUACAUGUUGUUCAGUAGAGAAGCAUAAACUGGCAUGGUAAGUUUAGAAUAAUGUCUCUUAUUCUAGCUUAUGAAAAAGUUGAAUCAGGGUUGGAGAGAUGGCUCAGCAAUUAAAGGUGCUUGCUUGCAAAGCCUGCCAACCUGGGUUUGAUUCCCAAGCAUCCAUGUAAAACCAGACACACG